GAAAAAUGAAGACAUUUUGACUGUUUCCUAUUAUUUCAGUGAAGACCUCAGAUCCAACUCUGAUUUCACUCUAGUU
rfam:Egretta garzetta contig49156, whole genome shotgun sequence.